UGCCCGGUAGCUCAGUGGAAGAGCGGUCGGCUCUGGUACCGACUGGACGCUGGUUCGAGCCCAGUUCGGGCAG
rnacentral:tRNA from 1 species